GGGUUGUGAGGUUAAGCGACUAAGCGUACACGGUGGAUGCCUAGGCAGUCAGAGGCGAUGAAGGGCGUGCUAAUCUGCGAUAAGCGUCGGUAAGCUGAUAUGAAGCGUUAUACCCGACGAUACCCGAAUGGGGGAAACCCAGUGUGUUUCGACACACUAUCAUGACAUGAAUACAUAGUGUCAUGAGGCGAACCGGGGGAACUGAAACAUCUCAGUACCCCGAGGAAAAGAAAUCAACCGAGAUUCCCCCAGUAGCGGCGAGCGAACGGGGAGGAGCCCAGAACCUGAAUCAGUUUGUGUGUUAGUGGAAGCGUCUGGAAAGUCGCACAGUAAAGGGUGAUAGUCCCGUACACAAAAAUGCACAAGCUGUGAGUUCGAUGAGUAGGGCGGGACACGUGACAUCCUGUCUGAAUAUGGGGGGACCAUCCUCCAAGGCUAAAUACUCCUGACUGACCGAUAGUGAACCAGUACCGUGAGGGAAAGGCGAAAAGAACCCCGGCGAGGGGAGUGAAAUAGAACCUGAAACCGUGUACGUACAAGCAGUGGGAGCCUACUUGUUAGGUGACUGCGUACCUUUUGUAUAAUGGGUCAGCGACUUAUAUUCUGUAGCAAGGUUAACCGUAUAGGGGAGCCGCAGGGAAACCGAGUCUUAACUGGGCGUUAAGUUGCAGGGUAUAGACCCGAAACCCGGUGAUCUAGCCAUGGGCAGGUUGAAGGUUGGGUAACACUAACUGGAGGACCGAACCGACUAAUGUUGAAAAAUUAGCGGAUGACUUGUGGCUGGGGGUGAAAGGCCAAUCAAACCGGGAGAUAGCUGGUUCUCCCCGAAAGCUAUUUAGGUAGCGCCUCGUGAACUCAUCUUCGGGGGGUAGAGCACUGUUUCGGCUAGGGGGUCAUCCCGACUUACCAACCCGAUGCAAACUACGAAUACCGAAGAAUGUUAUCACGGGAGACACACGGCGGGUGCUAACGUUCGUCGUGAAGAGGGAAACAACCCAGACCGCCAGCUAAGGUCCCAAAGUCAUGGUUAAGUGGGAAACGAUGUGGGAAGGCACAGACAGCCAGGAUGUUGGCUUAGAAGCAGCCAUCAUUUAAAGAAAGCGUAAUAGCUCACUGGUCGAGUCGGCCUGCGCGGAAGAUGUAACGGGGCUAAACCAUGCACCGAAGCUGCGGCAGCGACACUUAGGUGUUGUUGGGUAGGGGAGCGUUCUGUAAGCCUGCGAAGGUGGCCUGUGAGGGCUGCUGGAGGUAUCAGAAGUGCGAAUGCUGACAUAAGUAACGAUAAUGCGGGUGAAAAACCCGCACGCCGGAAGACCAAGGGUUCCUGUCCAACGUUAAUCGGGGCAGGGUGAGUCGACCCCUAAGGCGAGGCUGAAAAGCGUAGUCGAUGGGAAACAGGUUAAUAUUCCUGUACUCGGUGUUACUGCGAAGGGGGGACGGAGAAAGCUAGGUUAUCCGGGCGACGGUUGUCCCGGUUUAAGCGUGAAGGUGGAUGACUUUGGUAAAUCCGGGUCAUCGUUAACACUGAGGCGUGAUGACGAGUCACUACGGUGAUGAAGUAACCGAUGCUACGCUUCCAGGAAAAGCCUCUAAGCUCCAGGUAACAUCAAAUCGUACCCCAAACCGACACAGGUGGUCAGGUAGAGAAUACUCAGGCGCUUGAGAGAACUCGGGUGAAGGAACUAGGCAAAAUGGUGCCGUAACUUCGGGAGAAGGCACGCUGAUGGUAAGUGAAGUGACUUGCUCAUGGAGCUGAAAUCAGUCGAAGAUACCAGCUGGCUGCAACUGUUUAAUAAAAACACAGCACUGUGCAAACACGAAAGUGGACGUAUACGGUGUGACGCCUGCCCGGUGCCGGAAGGUUAAUUGAUGGGGUCAGCCGCAAGGCGAAGCUCUUGAUCGAAGCCCCGGUAAACGGCGGCCGUAACUAUAACGGUCCUAAGGUAGCGAAAUUCCUUGUCGGGUAAGUUCCGACCUGCACGAAUGGCGUAAUGAUGGCCAGGCUGUCUCCACCCGAGACUCAGUGAAAUUGAACUCGCUGUGAAGAUGCAGUGUACCCGCGGCAAGACGGAAAGACCCCGUGAACCUUUACUAUAGCUUGACACUGAACCUUGAGCCUUGAUGUGUAGGAUAGGUGGGAGGCUUUGAAGUGUGGACGCCAGUCUGCAUGGAGCCAACCUUGAAAUACCACCCUUUAAUGUUUGAUGUUCUAACGUGGACCCGUGAUCCGGGUUGCGGACAGUGUCUGGUGGGUAGUUUGACUGGGGCGGUCUCCUCCCAAAGCGUAACGGAGGAGCACGAAGGUUAGCUAAUCCUGGUCGGACAUCAGGAGGUUAGUGCAAAGGCAUAAGCUAGCUUGACUGCGAGAGUGACAGCUCGAGCAGGUGCGAAAGCAGGUCUUAGUGAUCCGGUGGUUCUGAAUGGAAGGGCCAUCGCUCAACGGAUAAAAGGUACUCCGGGGAUAACAGGCUGAUACCGCCCAAGAGUUCAUAUCGACGGCGGUGUUUGGCACCUCGAUGUCGGCUCAUCACAUCCUGGGGCUGAAGUAGGUCCCAAGGGUAUGGCUGUUCGCCAUUUAAAGUGGUACGCGAGCUGGGUUUAGAACGUCGUGAGACAGUUCGGUCCCUAUCUGCCGUGGGCGUUGGAAGAUUGAGAGGGGUUGCUCCUAGUACGAGAGGACCGGAGUGAACGCACCACUGGUGUACGGGUUGUGAUGCCAAUUGCAUUGCCCGGUAGCUAAGUGCGGAAGAGAUAACCGCUGAAAGCAUCUAAGCGGGAAACUUGCCUCGAGAUGAGUCUUCCCUGGGCACUAGAUGCCCCUGAAGGGCCGUUGAAGACGACGACGUAGAUAGGCUGGGUGUGUAAGCGUAGCGAUACGUUGAGCUAACCAGUACUAAUGACCCGAGAGGCUUAACCUUACAACACCGAAGGUGUUU
rnacentral:rRNA from 1 species